rnacentral:rRNA from 1 species
AGCGGCGAGUGAAGCGGCAAAAGCUCAAAUUUGAAAUCUGGCGUCUUUGGCGUCCGAGUUGUAAUUUGAAGAAGGUAUCUUUGGGCCCGGCUCUUGUCUAUGUUCCUUGGAACAGGACGUCACAGAGGGUGAGAAUCCCGUGCGAUGAGAUGACCCGGGUCUGUGUAAAGUUCCUUCGACGAGUCGAGUUGUUUGGGAAUGCAGCUCUAAGUGGGUGGUAAAUUCCAUCUAAAGCUAAAUAUUGGCGAGAGACCGAUAGCGAACAAGUACAGUGAUGGAAAGAUGAAAAGAACUUUGAAAAGAGAGUGAAAAAGUACGUGAAAUUGUUGAAAGGGAAGGGCUUGAGAUCAGACUUGGUAUUUUGCAUGUUGCUCUCUCGGGGGCGGCCGCUGCGGUUUACCGGGCCAGCAUCGGUUUGGAGCGGCAGGAUAAUGGCGGAGGAAUGUGGCACGGCUUCUGCUGUGUGUUAUAGCCUCUGACGAUACUGCCAGCCUAGACCGAGGACUGCGGUUUUUAC